rnacentral:lncRNA from 1 species
GCCUGUGUGCAUCAUUCAAAAUUAGAGAAUGUAAUUUUGAAGUAUCAAGUCUCAAUUCAAGAUUAAGAAUGAAUAGAAUAUAGAAUUACGGGGGGGGGGGGGGGGGGGUAGGACCUUUAUCGGAACUCCGGGAUCCGGGAAUUCUAUUUCCGAAUUUCGGGUAGUCGGGAUUUGAUUUUUUUUUUAAUUCGGGACCUCGCCGGAUUUCGUGUUUUUAAGCCCGGGAUUUCAAUAUCUGGAUCCCUCCUCCCCUCCUCCCUCUAUUAUGGUUAAAGAAAACAGGUCAGGGAAGUUUUGUGAUACUUGUAACUGCAAUUUAAUAUUUAGUGGAAUGAGCGGUGAAAUGUGUUCAGACUAUUACAUUUCGAUUUUUUUUU